rnacentral:rRNA from 1 species
AGCAGCCGCGGUAAUUCCAGCUCCAAUAGCGUAUAUUAAAGUUGUUGCAGUUAAAAAGCUCGUAGUUGAAUUUCGGGGUUAGUAGAUUGGUCAUGCCUCUGGUACGCACUGGUCUUACUGAUUCCUCCUUCCUGAUGAACCGUAAUGCCAUUAAUUUGGUGUUGCGGGGAAACUGGACUGUUACCUUGAAAAAUUAGAGUGUUUAAAGCAGGCUAACGCUUGAAUACAUUAGCAUGGAAUAAUGAAAUAGGACGUUCGAUCUUAUCUUGUUGGUUUCUAGGAUUGACGUAAUGAUUAAUAGGGAUAGUUGGGGCAUUAGUAUUCAAUUGUCAGAGGUGAAAUUCUUGGAUUUAUUGAAGACUAACUACUGCGAAAGC